UCCUGGUAGCUCUAAUGGUAAAGAAUCUACCUGCAAUGCAGGAGACCCAGGUUCAAUCCCUGGAGAAGGAA
rnacentral:tRNA from 1 species